GCGGCGGCAAAGGGACGCAGGGAGAGGUUCUGGGCUUGGGUCCUGGCUUGGUGAGUUCGGGUUGUGCGCUGAGUGGGGCUCCAGGGGGGUAGGGUCCUUGAAGGGUACCUGAAGCGAGUUCAUCGUGGGUACUCAGAUGGGUUCUCUUUUUCCCUUGAAAGUCUCUACUGCCCGAUGUCCUUCAGCUGGCCCUGUCCCCCACAUCCUUGAACUCCAGGGCGCCAGCUCACCAAGCUUUGUAGGAUGGGUUGUGGGCAUUUCAGGGUUUCCUGCAUCCCCAGGAAGAGUGCAUGUAAAGACAGCACACAGUCCCUAACUUCAGUGGGGUGCCACCUGUCCCCUGACACAGAGCAUGUAAUGGACCUUGAGCAGCACCCCGAGUUCAGCAGGGUGUCCCCUGUUCCCCACCCCCCAUAGGUGUGGUACUAACAAGCCCCAGAACAGUUCCCCAGCUUCAGAAUUUUGCCUCCUGUCCACGGGGUUGGUGGUAAUGGGCUGUCAGAGUUGUGCAGGAGGGUCCUCCAGGUUCCUGCCCCUCCCGACACAGGUGUGGCGCUAACGAGCCCCAGAGCCAUCCCCCAGUUUCAGCAUUGUCCAAGUUCCCGGGGAAUGAUGGUAAUGGGCUGUCAGGAUCCUGCAGAAGCAUCCACCGGGUGGGGGCCUGGAAGCUGGAGGAAACCAGACCCCACUCAAGUUGCAUGAGGAACAGGAACAGAAGCAGGUGCGCCGGCCUUAGGUCAGAGGAGCCUUCUCAUCCCCACCUGCCAACACUUCUCUGAUUUGGCUCCAUGAGACCCAAAGUUUUGAACAACAGCAUCUGAGUCAGUCACGCAGCUCAUCACAGGACGUCAGCGUUCCGAGAAAGCCGCAGGUGAGGAAUCACAAAAUCCUACCCCUGAAUCAAAGGAAUUAACACCGCAUGGAAAUGAAUUGGGAUUGAAGUCAAUGAAGAAAAGACCCUAUUCUGCUUCGUGAAGAGUGAGGCUACCAUCCCCAGAGGCCUGGUUCCAAGCCCUCCAGAUUGGGGACUGCUGAGCCACACCGCAGGACUCUGCCUGCCCCGCAGAAGGAAACCAUGCCAUUUGUUGCUGUGGAAAACCUGCAGAGUGUGAGACAUCUCCGUGCCACCCUGAGGCCAUCCCCCCACAUUCAGCCACCCCGGUGGACACAAACCCACACACAUCCUGACCCACGCCCUCAACUCUGCCACCCAGGAAGCUGGCCUCAGCUCUGGCAGAUAAGGCCAGCCAUGCCCCUUGGUCCUAAUUCUAACCCAGAGUCCUGGUUCCCAAGCCUUCCAGAUUGGGGACCCCCUGAGACAAACCACAGGACUCCACCUGACCCCCAGAAGGAAACCAUGCCACUUGGAGCUGGAAAAACCUGCACACAGCCUUAAGACAUCCACCAGCAUCAGCAGCCCCCCUUAUUUCAUAGAUAAUAUGUGAAAUUUAAGAAAUAAGACAGAGGAUCAUAGGGGAAGAGAGGGAAGAAGGAAGCAAGAUUAAACCAGAGAGGGAGACAAAGCAUAAGAGACACGUAAACUCAGGAAACAAACAGGGAUUCUGAGGGGGACAGCUAUGGAGCAAUGAGGUUGCUGUGAUGUCAUGGGAAGGGUAUGUGCUGUGGUGAGUACUGUGUGGUGUGUAAAACAGAAGGAUCACAAACCUGUACCCUUGAAACAAGUAACACAUUAUAUGAUCAAUUAAAAAAGGAAGUGAAAGAAAAACAUGUAGAAUACAAAUGUAAAGUAAAAAUAAAUAAAUAAAUAACCUCACUGAUAAAAAAAAGCAAUCACACCAACAAGUGACUAAGUGACCAGGAGUCAGCACACUCCCAAUUUCAAGCUAGAUUACAAAGCUGUUGUCAUCAAAACAGUAUGGGACUGGCAUAAAAACAGACACACAGGUCAGUGGAACACACUAGAGAGCUUGGAAACUGAUCAAUAGAAUUCUUAACACUGAGUGGGAAUUAAUAAUAUUUAUGUCCUGUCCCAUCUGUUGCUUAC